GACGAACGCUGGCGGCGUGCUUAACACAUGCAAGUCGAGCGGAAAGGCCCUUCGGGGUACUCGAGCGGCGAACGGGUGAGUAACACGUGAGUAACCUGCCCUUGACUCUGGGAUAAGCCUGGGAAACUGGGUCUAAUACCGGAUACGACACACGGCUGCAUGGCCUGUGUGUGGAAAGUUUUUCGGUUGGGGAUGGACUCGCGGCCUAUCAGCUUGUUGGUGAGGUAAUGGCUCACCAAGGCGACGACGGGUAGCCGGCCUGAGAGGGCGACCGGCCACACUGGGACUGAGACACGGCCCAGACUCCUACGGGAGGCAGCAGUGGGGAAUAUUGCGCAAUGGGCGAAAGCCUGACGCAGCGACGCCGCGUGGGGGAUGACGGCCUUCGGGUUGUAAACCUCUUUCAGCAGGGACGAAGUUGACGUGUACCUGCAGAAGAAGCGCCGGCUAACUACGUGCCAGCAGCCGCGGUAAUACGUAGGGCGCAAGCGUUGUCCGGAAUUAUUGGGCGUAAAGAGCUCGUAGGUGGCUUGUCACGUCGGAUGUGAAAGCCCACAGCUUAACUGUGGGUCUGCAUUCGAUACGGGCUGGCUAGAGGUAGGUAGGGGCAAGCGGAAUUCCUGGU
rnacentral:rRNA from 1 species